rnacentral:rRNA from 1 species
CGCGGGCCUAUCAGCUUGUUGGUGAGGUAACGGCUCACCAAGGCUCCGACGGGUAGCUGGUCUGAGAGGACGAUCAGCCACACUGGGACUGAGACACGGCCCAGACUCCUACGGGAGGCAGCAGCAGGGAAUUUUGCACAAUGGGCGAAAGCCUGAUGCAGCGACGCCGCGUGCGGGAUGAAUGCCUUCGGGUUGUAAACCGCUUUCAGGAGGGACGAAGCGAAAGUGACGGUACCUCCAGAAGAAGCCCCGGCCAACUACGUGCCAGCAGCCGCGGUAAUACGUAGGGGGCGAACGUUGUCCGGAAUUAUUGGGCGUAAAGAGCUCGUAGGCGGUCCAUUACGUCUGGUGUGAAAUCUCAGGGCUUAACCCUGAAAUCGCAUUUGAUACUGGUGGACUUGAGGCAGGUAGGGGAAGGUGGAAUUCCUGGUGUAGCGGUGAAAUGCGCAGAUAUCAGGAGGAACACCGGUGGCGAAGGCGGCCUUCUGGGCCUGUUCUGACGCUGAGGAGCGAAAGCGUGGGGAGCGAACAGGAUUAGAUACCCUGGUAGUCCACGCUGUAAACGAUGGGUGCUAGGUGUGGGGGGUUAUCCACUCCCUCCGUGCCGUAGCCAACGCAUUAAGCACCCCGCCUGGGGAGUACGG